UACGUAGGGGGCAAGCGUUGUCCGGAAUCAUUGGGCGUAAAGAGCGUGUAGGCGGCCCGAUAAGUCCGCUGUGAAAGUCCAGGGCUCAACCCUGGGAUGCCGGUGGAUACUGUCGGGCUCGAGUCCGGAAGAGGAGUGUGGAAUUCCUGGUGUAGCGGUGAAAUGACGCAGACUAUCAGGAGGAACACCAAUGGCGAAGGCAGCACUCUGGGACGUGACUGACGCUGAGGCGCGAAAGCCAGGGGAGCAAACGGG
rnacentral:rRNA from 1 species